UCUCUCUCUCUCUCUCUCUCUCUCUCUCUCUCUCUCUCUCUCACAGACGCUUGCGUGGGUCUCUCUCUCUCUCUUCGACCGCAGCUCCAAGAUCAGCUUCGGCGUGGGUCUCCAAAGAGAAUUUGAUCCCCAAUCAAACUUUAUUUAUGUUGAUGAUGAGUGACUCAAGACUUAUGGUCUAUUCUAUAUUUGUUGUUAAAGAUUCUUGUUCGAGGACUGUUUAUUUAUAGUUCAUGAAUUUGUUUAAAAAGGCUGUAAUAUUUUCUAUUGAUAAUAUAUAUAUGGACGUUCUAUUCAUGUUUAUUGUUUAUGUUAUGGAUGGCCUAUGGGAUGUAAUGUAGUGGAUGAAUGAAUGAAUUU